rnacentral:rRNA from 1 species
AUUGAACGCUGGCGGAAUGCUUAACACAUGCAAGUCGAACGCGCCCUUCGGGGCGAGUGGCAGACGGGUGAGUAACGCGUGGGAACCUACCUUUUGGUACGGAAUAACUCAGGGAAACUUGAGCUAAUACCGUAUAAGCCCUGACUUUUAAUCGGGUCUGGGGAAAGAUUCAUCGCCAAAGGAUGGGCCCGCGUCGGAUUAGCUAGUUGGUGGGGUAAUGGCCUACCAAGGCGACGAUCCGUAGCUGGUCUGAGAGGAUGAUCAGCCACACUGGGACUGAGACACGGCCCAGACUCCUACGGGAGGCAGCAGUGGGGAAUACUGGACAAUGGGGGCAACCCUGAUCCAGCCAUGCCGCGUGAGUGAUGAAGGCCUUAGGGUUGUAAAGCUCUUUCGCCGGUGAAGAUAAUGACGGUAACCGGAGAAGAAGCCCCGGCUAACUUCGUGCCAGCCGCCGCAGUAA